UCUCCGUAGGUGAACCUGCGGAGGGAUCAUUACCGCAUUCAUGCCCUCACGGGUAUAUCUCCCACCCAUUAUUAUUAUACUUUGUUGCUUUGGCAGGCCACCAGCGUGGACUACCGGCUCCAUCUGGUAAGUGCCUGACAGAGGAACCCAUACCUUGAAUAUUUUAUUGUCUGAGUACUAUCAAAUAGUUUAAAACUUUCAACAACGGAUCUCUUGGUUCUC
rnacentral:misc_RNA from 1 species